GCGUGGGAAUAUGCCCUUCUCUAAGGAAUAGCCUCUGGAAACGGAGAGUAAUACCUUAUACGCCCUUUGGGGGAAAGAUUUAUCGGAGAAGGAUUAGCCCGCGUUAGAUUAGGUAGUUGGUGGGGUAAUGGCCUACCAAGCCUACGAUCUAUAGCUGGUUUGAGAGGAUGAUCAGCCACACUGGGACUGAGACACGGCCCAGACUCCUACGGGAGGCAGCAGUAGGGAAUCUUAGACAAUGGGGGCAACCCUGAUCUAGCCAUGCCGCGUGUGUGAUGAAGGCCCUAGGGUCGUAAAGCACUUUCGCCAGAGAUGAUAAUGACAGUAUCUGGUAAAGAAACCCCGGCUAACUCCGUGCCAGCAGCCGCGGUAAUACGGAGGGGGUUAGCGUUGUUCGGAAUUACUGGGCGUAAAGCGCACGUAGGCGGAUUAGUAAGUUAGAGGUGAAAUCCCAGGGCUCAACCCUGGAACUGCCUUUAAUACUGCUAGUCUUGAGUUCGAGAGAGGUAAGUGGAAUUCCGAGUGUAGAGGUGAAAUUCGUAGAUAUUCGGAGGAACACCAGUGGCGAAGGCGGCUUACUGGCUCGAUACUGACGCUGAGGUGCGAAAGUGUGGGGAGCAAACAGGAUUAGAUACCCUGGUAGUCCACACCGUAAACGAUGAAUGCCAGACGUCAGCAAGUAUACUUGUUGGUGUCACACCUAACGGA
rnacentral:rRNA from 1 species